rnacentral:rRNA from 1 species
CCGAGUUUACAACUCCCAAACCCCAAUGUGAACGUUACCAAUCUGUUGCCUCGGCGGGAUUCUCUUGCCCCGGGCGCGUCGCAGCCCCGGAUCCCAUGGCGCCCGCCGGAGGACCAACUCCAAACUCUUUUUUUCUCUCCGUCGCGGCUCCCGUCGCGGCUCUGUUUUAUUUUUGCUCUGAGCCUUUCUCGGCGACCCUAGCGGGCGUCUCGAAAAUGAAUCAAAACUUUCAACAACGGAUCUCUUGGUUCUGGCAUCGAUGAAGAACGCAGCGAAAUGCGAUAAGUAAUGUGAAUUGCAGAAUUCAGUGAAUCAUCGAAUCUUUGAACGCACAUUGCGCCCGCCAGUAUUCUGGCGGGCAUGCCUGUCCGAGCGUCAUUUCAACCCUCGAACCCCUCCGGGGGGUCGGCGUUGGGGAUCGGCCCCUCACCGGGCCGCCCCCGAAAUACAGUGGCGGUCUCGCCGCAGCCUCUCCUGCGCAGUAGUUUGCACACUCGCACCGGGAGCGCGGCGCGGCCACAGCCGUAAAACACCCCAAACUUCUGAAAUGUUGACCUCGGAUCAGGUAGGAAUACCCGCUGAACUUAAGCAUAUCAAUAAGCGGAGGAA